AGAGUUUGAUCCUGGCUCAGGACGAACGCUGGCGGCGUGCCUAACACAUGCAAGUCGAACGGGGUGAGGCCCUUCGGGACCUUUACCUAGUGGCGAACGGGUGAGUAACGCGUGAGGAACCUGCCUUUCAGUGGGGGACAACAGUUGGAAACGACUGCUAAUACCGCAUGAAGCUUUUGGGAGACAUCUCCUGGAAGCCAAAGCUUAAUGUGCUGAAAGAUGGCCUCGCGUCUGAUUAGCUAGUUGGUGGGGUAACGGCCCACCAAGGCGACGAUCAGUAGCCGGUCAGAGAGGAUGAACGGCCACAUUGGGACUGAGAUACGGCCCAGACUCCUACGGGAGGCAGCAGUGGGGAAUAUUGGGCAAUGGGCGAAAGCCUGACCCAGCAACGCCGCGUGAAGGAAGAAGGCCUUCGGGUUGUAAACUUCUUUUACCAGGGACGAAGGACGUGACGGUACCUGGAGAAAAAGCAACGGCUAACUACGUGCAGCAGCCGCGGUAAUACGUAGGUUGCAAGCGUUGUCCGGAUUUACUGGGUGUAAAGGGCGUGUAGGCGGAGAUGCAAGUUAGGAGUGAAAUCUAUGGGCUCAACCCAUAAACUGCUUCUAAAACUGUAUCCCUUGAGUAUCGGGGAGGCAAGCGGAAUUCCUAGUGUAGCGGUGAAAUGCGUAGAUAUUAGGAGGAACACCAGUGGCGAAGGCGGCUUGCUGGACGACAACUGACGCUGAGGCGCGAAAGCGUGGGGAGCAAACAGGAUUAGAUACCCAGGUAGUCCACGCUGUAAACGAUGAAUACUAGGUGUGGGGGGACUGACCCCCUCCGUGCCGCAGUUAACACAAUAAGUAUUCCACCUGGGGAGUACGACCGCAAGGUUGAAACUCAAAGGAAUUGACGGGGGCCCGCACAAGCAGUGGAUUAUGUGGUUUAAUUCGACGCAACGCGAAGAACCUUACCAGGACUUGACAUCCAACUAACGAAGUAGAGAUACAUCAGGUGCCCUUCGGGGAAAGUUGAGACAGGUGGUGCAUGGUUGUCGUCAGCUCGUGUCGUGAGAUGUUGGGUUAAGUCCCGCAACGAGCGCAACCCCUAUUGUUAGUUGCUACGAAAGAGCACUCUAGCGAGACUGCCGUUGACAAAACGGAGGAAGGCGGGGACGACGUCAAAUCAUCAUGCCCCUUAUGUCCUGGGCUACACACGUAAUACAAUGGUGGCCAACAGAGGGAAGCGAAGCCGUGAGGCAGAGCAAAUCCCUAAAAGCCAUCUCAGUUCGGAUUGCAGGCUGCAACUCGCCUGCAUGAAGCUGGAAUUGCUAGUAAUCGCGGAUCAGCAUGCCGCGGUGAAUACGUUCCCGGGCCUUGUACACACCGCCCGUCACACCAUGAGAGUCGGGAACACCCGAAGUCCGUAGUCUAACCGCAAGGGGGGCGCGGCCGAAGGUGGGUCCGGUAAUUGGGGUGAAGUCGUAACAAGGUA
rnacentral:rRNA from 1 species